GUUUAGCUUUAUUUGUACUUGAUGUUGGCUUCGCUAGUACCAGGUAUGAUUUUUUAUGUGGAGAACUCAAAUCUAAUCUUUUUUUUUGUGAUUUCAAUACUGAUUGUCAAGUACACUUAAUGUUUACUACACAUUGCAUUUCAUUACGCAAUCUCUCUGUGUACUGCCUUUGAUCACAAAGUCAAGUUUAAGGAGUAAAGAUGGUGAAAGGAUAGUAAAUUUGGAAUAUGCAUCAUUCAUUUUAAACUAACACAAUUUUACUUCACUAAGCACAAUUUACACCUUACUGCACUAAUCAUCAUUACUGAUUUAAUUCCAUGUUAUGUAAAUGUAUAUACAGGUAGUUAGGAAUUUAACAAAUUGCAACAACUAUCUAGCCUCUGUUAAAUGAUAUUGAAUUCCACAAUUAUUAAUCAAAUUUUAUCCACCUGUACAUUAAUUAGAGCAUUUCAUAUUUCAUCUCGCUACAGAAUUGGAACUUUGCAAAGGUUUGGUAUCAAAUUUUUAAGAGACCAAUUUUUCAUUCUCCAUCAAUAUUCAAAAUAGAUCAUGAACUUGUAUAUACCAGAUAGCUGUAUAUGAUUUUCAAGAGCUUAAAACCCUUUUAGGAAUGUAAUUAGCUGAAAGAUAAAUUGUAAAUUAUUUUUUGUGGGAAUACUGGUAAAUGUUAUGAUUGUGGUUUUGAAUUGUGCCUGCUUUUAUGUUGUAGGGAACUGUUAUCAUGCUAUGCUCAAACAUACCAGUUUUGUAUUGCAUGCAUAUGUACAUAGUGUAUGUAUAUAUAUAAAAAAAAGGUUUAAUAUAUACUGGCCUAUUACAAGUCAACCUAAGCUAUAGCAUGCAUGUUUGAAGUAUAGAGGGAGUUAUGGUUUUUUAUGUCCAAUCCUAUUGUUUUUAAUUUGCAUAAGUAAUGUGAAGGAAACGAAUUUGAGAAAUGUAUGUGUCCUAUGUUUUUUCUGAUUUCUUUCAAAUUGAAUACAUGUAGGUAAAUGUAUGAAAUGAAAGUAUAAAUGGUUUACAAAUUGUAUCUAUUUAAAGACAUCUAAUUUUAUACAUGAAAUUUAAAUGAAUGAAAGAAUCAUAUUGAUUGACCUUUGUGAGAAUGAUUUGAUGAAUAAAUGUUGAUUGUUUUAU
rnacentral:misc_RNA from 1 species